AAACUACUCCCUCCGUUCAGAAUUACUUGUCGCACAAAUGGAUGUAUCUAGACGUAUUUUAGUUCUAGAUACAUCCAUUUCCGAGACAAGUAAUUCCGAACGGAGGGAGUACCCU
rnacentral:pre_miRNA from 1 species